rnacentral:rRNA from 1 species
GAGUGAAGAGGGAAGAGCUCAUCAUUGGAAUCUGGCAGCGGGUUUGCGCUGUCCGAGUUGUAGAUGAGAAGAGUAGGCCAUCUGGACUGCAUGGUGUCCAAGUACAAUAGGCCGUCAGUGGGACAUCAUAGAGGGUGACAAUCCCGUCCUUGACACCAAUGUACGAGUCCAUUGCGAUGCCUAUCUCAGAGAGUCGAGCAGUUUGGGAUUUGCUGCUUAAACAUGGGAGGUAGAUUCCUUCUAAAGCUAAAUACAGGCAAGAGACCGAUAGAGAACAAGUACCGCAAGGGAAAGAUGAAAUAGAACUCUGUGAAGGGAGUCAAAAAGACGUGAAAUUGUUGCGAGAGAAGCGAUUCAAGUCAGCGUAGCUAGGCCCAUCAAGCCUCGCUUUGGACUAGCUUUGCCAGCGGUCUCGUCUCUUUUUAGAGACUUGACUUUUUUAACGUGCCCUGCCCGGUCUAACGGGCAGACCCACCAACACAUUGGGGGGCCAGAGUGGCAUGGCUGGUGGAAUGGCUUGCAAUCGACCCGUCUUGAAACACGGACCAAGGAGUCUAACAUGUGUGCGAGUAUAAGGGUGGCAAACCCGUAUGCGCAAAGAAAGUGAUAGCCUUUUUUAUGGCUGAGAAUGGCCUGAUGACCAGACAAGCAAUAUAUGUCCCUCAUACGGUCAUUGCCCAAGUCCCGUGGUCAGAUCCCAUGGACAUGGAGUUGGAGCAUACAUGCUAGGACCCGAAAGAUGGUGAACUAUGCCUGGACAAAGCGAAGCCAAAGGAAACUCUGGUGGAGGCUUGUAGCGAUUCUGACGUGCAAAUCGAUCGUCUGAUCUG